AUAAGUUGGCAGGACUCUUGUUUUCGUUAUAUACAUAGGGAGGUUAUGAAAAAAGCAUAUUAAAAAGGUACCCGUGUGACAUUGUAGAGGCACUGGUAUCGCUGCACACUUUUGAGAACGCCAUGGCAGAUGAGGGCGAAGAAGAAAAGGGAAAGUCUUGGGAAUCCUUGACAUCCAGAACACUCCCUGUGCCGGAGGGGCAGUGCUUCAUGGCUCCGCAGCGUCCAUCUUAGUUGACGUAGGACACUUCUUAGCAACAAGCAGAGUCAAAAGAUAUUUUAAUUUUGCUGUAGGAGGGUUCAUGUUAACAACGCUAGGAUCUUGGUUCUACUGCAGAUACAACAAUGCUAAGCUUCGAAUGUAGCAAAAACUGAUCCAAGGUGGCUUAAAAAACAAUGUCAUGUAUGAAGGUACCAGUCUGGACCCAACAGGAAAACAGAACAGCAGUCAAGGGGGUGGGUCAUGAACAACAAAUAACUCACUAAAGUGGACAUUCUACUGGAAACCCAUACAAAUCAACAUGUUUCAGAAGCAGUGCCUUUUCCUCAAGGGACCUAAAAGCUGCUAGUGAAAACGUCAUUGCAUAGAUACAAUUAUGUUUAUGUAUUGUACUGUCUUACAAAGUGAGCCAUUGCAAGCGUGUACUGAUUAAAAUAUGUUCUAUUGUAAUGCUGUUGUUUAUUUCUGCUUGUUAUUAAGGCACACUAGUUCAUCUAAACAUUUAACAACAUUUUGUUUUGUUUUUCUUUAUACUGUAUCAAAUGUUCAAUUGCAUCUUGUAUUGUGGAACAGUGUUACUGUUCAUUUAAAAGAACUAAGCUACUGCACAGAAAACUUGCCUGCAUUUUCUUUUAAUGAAGACAUUAGACAAGAUGUUAGUAAACUUGGCUGAGUAGCCGUAACCUCAGAAUGUAUGAGUAUUUUAAGUUAUGGAUUGUCUGUUAUAGAAAGUGAGUUUAACCAAGAGAUUUGAAGAAGAGGGUAUAGGGAGGCAAGAGGUCAUCACUGUUGUGUAUAUCUAUAUGGAACAGCCAUUUUGUGUAAAAUAUUUAAUUAAGGUCAGUAUGGUCUAAGAUGGGUUUAACAUGGGAGCCAGGAUGGUUUGAUAAGACCAGUUUGCAAGUUGUUUCACAGACCCUGAUUAGCACAAUCUUGGACGGCCCAACCAUUCCUUAGAUAAGGUAGUCCAAGAUCAAUGCCAACCAGGGUAUCCCAAACCUGAUGUCAAUUCUUGUGGACUACAUGAAAAUAAAUCACCCCUAAUUUUGUCAUAGAAAGUAUAAAAUGUUUUUUGUGUUGUUAUAUACCGUAAUACAAUGAAAGCAUCAUUCAGAUUACCUCAAUUCCAGUGAACCUUGUGGAAUUUAUAAAACUUUAAAACGUUGUACCACUUGAUGGCACUAUUGUUGUUUUUGAAGAUGUGUUUGGGAUAUCUGCAAGGAUUCAAAAUAAAUAAUAUUAUAUUCAAAGAAAUACAGACACUGCAGUUCAUGUAUCACCACUGUCAUGUCAUUAACCCUUUUGCUAUGCAUAUAACCUGCAGGUGCCCGUUUCUCGAAAGGUUCGCAAGCACCUUUCCUCUUGCAAACUUCUAGCUAAUGUGUUGUAACAGUUCUGGAAAGCAUUACAGUUGCAAAACUGUCUACAAAUUUACAAUUAAUUUUGACCUCUCACAACUCACAGAAUCCUAUUGCAAAACACAACCCUCGUACUGGUCAAGGCUUUUGAAUAUUAUUAUUUGUUUAUUUAGCAGACGCCUUUAUCCAAGGCGACUUACAGAGAUUAGGGUGUGUGAACUAUGCAUCAGUUGCAAAGUCACUUACAAUUACGUCUCACCCGAAAGACGGAGCACAAGGAGGUUAAGUGACUUGCUCAAGGUCACAAAUAGCCA